AUUGAACGCUGGCGGCAUGCUUUACACAUGCAAGUCGGACGAGUGGCGAACGGGUGAGUAACGCCUCGGAAAGUACCAAGUAACGGGGGAUAACUGAUGGAAAGGACAGCUAAUACCGCAUACUAUUCGAGAGGCCCAUGUCGGAUUAGCUGGUUGGCGGGGUAAAGGCCCACCAAGGCGACGAGCAGUAGCGGGUCUGAGAGGAUGAGCAGCCACACUGGGACUGAGACACGGCCCAGACUCCUACGGGAGUCAGCAGUGGGGAAUAUUGUACAAUGGGCGCAAGCCUGAUCCAGCCAUGCCGCGUGUCUGAAGAAGGCCGUCGGGUUGUAAAGGACUUUUGGCAGGGAAGCGGUACCUGAAGAAUAAGCACCGACUAACUCCGGGCCAGCAGCCGCGGUAAUAC
rnacentral:rRNA from 1 species